rnacentral:rRNA from 1 species
GAUAGCGGAGAAAUUCCAAUCGAACUCGGAGAUAGCUGGUUCUCCUCGAAAUAGUUUUAGGACUAGCCUUGUUAAGUAGUAUAUGGGGGUAGAGCACUGAAGGAGCUAGGGGCCAAACCAGGUUACUGAACUCUAUCAAACUCCGAAUACCAUAUACGUAAAAACAGGAGUCAGACUGCGGGAGCUAAGUUCCGUGGUCAAAAGGGAAAGAGCCCAGAUCGUCAAUUAAGGUCCCAAAGAUAUAGUUAAGUGGAAAACGAUGUGAUUUUGCGUAAACAACCAGGAUGUUGGCUUAGAAGCAGCCAUUCAUUUAAAGAGUGCGUAAUAGCUCACUGGUCGAGUGAAGUUGCGCGGAAAAUUACCGGGGCUAAACUAUACACCGAAAUUGCGGAUUCAUGAGUAAUCAUGAGUGGUAGAGGAGCAUUCUGUUGUAGGAAGAAGUGUGAUCGAAAGGACAUGUGGACGAAGCAGAAGAGAGAAUGCCGGAAUAAGUAGCGAAAGCAUGGUGAGAAUCCAUGCCAUCGAAAGUCUAAGGUUUCCUGGGGAAGGUUCGUCCGCCCAGGGUAAGUCGGGACCUAAGGUGAGGCCGAAAGGCGUAGCCGAUGGACAGCAGGUAGAAAUUCCUGCACUACCGAAUACUUAAAAGAUGCAAGGGACACAGGAGUGGAAGGAAAGCGAGGAAGAGGAAAGACUCGUAUCGAAAGAUAUAGUGAAAAUUAAAGUAACGAAUUUCCAAGAAGCACACUGGCGAGAAAAGCUUGUAGAUAUUGUAUAGAGGUACCCGUACCGCAAACCGACACAGGUAGAUGAGGAGAGGAUCCUAAGAUGAGCGAGAGAAGCAUUGUUAAGGAACUCGGCAAACCAACCCCGUAACUUAGGGAGAAGGGGUGCCUAUGUAAAAAUAGGCCGCAGAGAAGAGGCCCAAGCAACUGUUUAACAAAAACACAGGUUUCUGCUAAAUCGAAAGAUGAAGUAUAGGAGCUGACGCCUGCCCAGUGCUGGAAGGUUAAGGGAAAAUGUAAGUACAGAAGUAUGAAGCAUAGAACCAAAGCCCCAGUGAACGGCGGCCGUAACUAUAACGGUCCUAAGGUAGCGAAAUUCCUUGUCAGGUAAGUUCUGACCCGCACGAAAGGCGUAAUGAUUUGGGCACUGUCUCGACAAUGUACCCGGCGAAAUUGUAGUACUAGUGAAGAUGCUAGUUACCUGCGACAAGACAGAAAGACCCCAUGGAGCUUUACUGUAGCUUGAUACUGGGUUUCGAUAAUUUAUGUACAGGAUAGGUGGGAUGCAAAGAAGCAAGUGCGCCAGCAUUUGUGGAGCAGACGUUGGGAUACCACCCUUAAGUUAUUGGAAUUCUAACCUGUAGUCAUGAACUGGCUAGGGGACAAUGUCAGGCGGGCAGUUUGACUGGGGCGGUCGCCUCCAAAAGAGUAACGGAGGCGCGCAAAGGUUUCCUCAGCGCGGACAGAAAUCGCGCAAGAGAGUGCAAAGGCAGAAGGAAGCUUAACUGAGAGACUGACAAGUCGACCAGAUACGAAAGUAGGUCUUAGUGAUCCGGCGGUAGUGAGUGGAAAUGCCGUCGCUCAACGGACAAAAGUUACCCUGGGGAUAACAGGCUUAUCUCCCCCAAGAGUUCACAUCGACGGGGAGGUUUGGCACCUCGAUGUCGGCUCAUCACAUCCUGGGGCUGUAGUAGGUCCCAAGGGUUGGGCUGUUCGCCCAUUAAAGUGGUACGCGAGCUGGGUUCAGAACGUCGUGAGACAGUUCGGUCCUUAUCUGUCGCAGGCG